rnacentral:rRNA from 1 species
AAGCUCGUAGUUGGAUUUGUGGUGCUGCCUGCAGUCCAAUUAGCUUUGGUGCUAGCGGGUGGUGCCAUCUUUGGGUGGAACCUGUAGGGCAUUAGCUUGUUUUGCAGGGGAGAUCCAUCGUUUACUGUGAAAAAAUUAGAGUGUUCAAAGCAGGCUUACGCCAUUGAAUAUACUAGCAUGGAAUAAUGAAAUAGGACUUUGGUACUAUUUUGUUGGUUUGCGCGCCAAAGUAAUGAUUAAUAGGGACAGUUGGGGGUAUUCGUAUUCCAUAGUCAGAGGUGAAAUUCUUGGAUUUUUGGAAGACGAACUACUGCGAAAGCAUUUACCAAGGAUGUUUUCAUUAAUCAAGAACGAAAGUUAGGGGAUCGAAGAUGAUUAGAUACCAUUCGUAGUCUUA